CCAAGGCGGCCUGCAAGAGUGGGGUCCCGAAGCUGAAGCGGGUCCCUAGCUAGCUAGCCCUUCCCGGAGCUAGCGCGAGCCGAGGCAGCCGCUGAGCGCAAACCUAGCACAGGGCUAGCGCUGAGCCCCGACGUCCGACACUAUCUACACCUGCCUCAGCCGGCCAUUUGAUAUAGCUGUGUGUGCCUCAAGGCUGUGGCCCAGGAGAAAGGAACCUGGGACAGAAGAAAUGGAGGAAGGAUACUGGAGGAGGACCUGAAGGCGAGAUCUGAGGAUUUGCGGGACUAUGCUUGACUCCGCCCUCGCCGGGUUCCGCCCGUUGCUGGUGCUUUCCCACUCCAAGCCCGCAGCUCCUAUCUGGGCCCCUCCGAGGAUAACCAAAGUCUGUGUGUGGCUAUGGUGGGCGGAGGACUGGAACAAGUGACCACCUUUGAGUGCCACCAACGAUAAUCACCUUGGUUCUGUGACUCACCAACAGCCUUUUGACCCGCCUCCUCCCCUUCCACUCUGCCAACGCUCCACGUGCCCGGCACUUUGCUAAAAGCUACUCCCCAUAUUUUAAAGAUAGAUAAAGCGAUUGGACUUAA